AUUGAACGCUGGCGGCAGGCCUAACACAUGCAAGUCGAGCGGAUGAAGGGAGCUUGCUCCUGGAUUCAGCGGCGGACGGGUGAGUAAUGCCUAGGAAUCUGCCUGGUAGUGGGGGAUAACGUCCGGAAACGGGCGCUAAUACCGCAUACGUCCUGAGGGAGAAAGUGGGGGAUCUUCGGACCUCACGCUAUCAGAUGAGCCUAGGUCGGAUUAGCUAGUUGGUGGGGUAAAGGCCUACCAAGGCGACGAUCCGUCACUGGUCUGAGAGGAUGAUCAGUCACACUGGAACUGAGACACGGUCCAGACUCCUACGGGAGGCAGCAGUGGGGAAUAUUGGACAAUGGGCGAAAGCCUGAUCCAGCCAUGCCGCGUGUGUGAAGAAGGUCUUCGGAUUUUAAAGCACUUUAAGUUGGGAGGAAGGGCAGUAAGUUAAUACCUUGCUGUUUUGACGUUACCAACAGAAUAAGCACCGGCUAACUUCGUG
rnacentral:rRNA from 1 species